rnacentral:lncRNA from 1 species
CCUUUCUUCAUAUCUGUUGCCUGUUGGGUUUAUUAGGAUUAAAGAGGAUGGGUUAAGACUAGUCUCGAUGGAGAUUUUAUUCUCACUUUUCAAGACUUAUAGCUCUUAGUUCAUCUUCAGUGGCAUAUCUAUAUUUUAAAAGUUGUGCAGAAGAGUUUUAUUCCCAUUAAACUUUUUCUACUCCUAUAAAACUCUUAUCAUUUCUCUCUUCAUUAAUAUGGUGCCACAUCAACAUAUUUAACGCCCAUAAAACUCUAUUGAAACCGCAUUGAGACUGACCUUAGUCUCCAAUCCUAUGAGAAAUGAUUGAUCUAAAGGAGUCAUCAUGUACUAGAAAUAGUAUAAACGAAUUUUAUCUUCAUAAAUUUCAUUUUAUCCUAUAAACCUUAUAUCACCACUCUUCAUUUAUAUUAUUAUGUUGUGCCAGCUUACUUAAUGCAAAAUUCUUAUAAAACCACUACUGAAACUAGCCUAAUAAAACCGGCAAAACAUAUAUAACUUGUAUUUAUGAAAACUAGUCACCUUACAAAUUAACAAUCAUUUUUAAAUACAAAGCCAAACCUUAAGUAUGCAUUUCCAUCUCUAAACAUAUAUAAAGAGUUCGUCUAAACCUCAAAUUGCCUUUUUGUAAGCCAACAGCAGUUGCUCUGUCUAUAAAUCAAGAAGAAAAAAGAUUUUAACUUUACACACACGAAACACACAGUGGAACCCACAUGCCUCACACUGCAAAAAAAAAAAAGGAAUAUACAAAUUUGAACUGCACACGCCCUUUUCCGCUCUUCUGUGACUUCCUUUGCCCUCCAAAUGCAAACUGCUGCACUGUAAUGAAAAAGUUCUCGAAAAUACAGUGAUUACUAAACUGAUUUAUUUUGAUGAUUGACACAAGGUCUAUCCUCUUUGUUUCAUUUCACUGCAAAGAUAUUCUUUCCUUUUACCAGAGGACAACAGAUGACAAGUCAGAGUAUGCAGAGUACGCUAU